rnacentral:rRNA from 1 species
AUCAGGUGGGACUACCUGCUGAACUUAAGCAUAUCAAUAAGCAGAGGAAAAGAAACUAACAAGGAUUCCCCUAGUAAUGGCGAAUGAAGAGGGAAAAGCCCAAAUUUGUAAUCUGGCUCUUUCAGAGUCCGAGUUGUAAUUUUAAGAACUGUUUUCAGUGCUGGACCAUGUAUAAGUCUGUUGAAAGGCAGCAUCAUAGAAGGUGAUAAUCCUGUUCAUGAUGUGGACUACCAGUGCAAUAUGAUACAGUCUCUAAGAGUCGAGUUGUUUGGGAAUGCAGCUCAAAGUGGGU